rnacentral:rRNA from 1 species
AUGCAUGUCUAAGUUCACACUUUAUUACGGUGAAACCGCGAAUGGCUCAUUAAAUCAGUCGAGGUUCCUUAGAUGACACGAUCCUACUUGGAUAACUGUGGCAAUUCUAGAGCUAAUACAUGCUUAUGAUGCUCCGACCCUCGGGAAAGAGCGCUUUUAUUAGUUCAAAACCAAUCGUUGGUUCGCUUGCAAGAGCGGCCGGCGUCCCUAUUGGUGACUCUGGAUAACUUUGUGCUGAUCGCAUGGCCUUGUGCUGGCGACGCAUCUUUCAAAUGUCUGCCCUAUCAAAUGUCGAUGGUACGUGAUAUGCCUACCAUGUUUGUAACGGGUAACGGGGAAUCAGGGUUCGAUUCCGGAGAGGGAGCAUGAGAAACGGCUACCACA